GGGCUUCACCGGGGGUGUCUGUUCUUUUGGAACGGACUGAGAAAUACCCCACUCACCUGAUCUGGGUCAUGCCAGCGUAGGAAGUGUGAAGAGCCUUGAUC
rnacentral:ncRNA from 1 species